AAAUUUAACCCGCUUGAAGACUAACUCUCAUAUUUCUCCCCCUUUGUCAGCAAGUGACGAAAAGGGACGAAAUAAUGACUAACGCCCAUGAAGAACUUCACUUCUCUAGUGGAGGAGACGCACCCGCGUUCUUCGUGUCAGUCUUCCUGGUUGGGCCUCUUGCAAUACCAGUAGGUUCUUCAUCCGAAUCAGCUGAGCGGAAUGAGAAAUAAGAGCUGUCCACCAGGUCAAGAAUUGGGAUCUUCUUGAAUUUCUUCUUUGGUGGCCAUGACCAAUC
rnacentral:lncRNA from 1 species